UAGGCUUUAGUUUAGUUAAAAUACCUGACUUGCAUUCGGGUGACAUAGGGGAUCCUAUAAGUCUUA
rnacentral:tRNA from 1 species